GUUACAGGAGUCUAUCCAUCACAUAUAUACUUCACUUCAAGGGACACCAUGGCAUAACCGUCGAGGCGAAGUAGGGACCUAAAAGAUUAAAUGGAAUGAUACAUAGACAAGUAAAUCCCUUAUGAAUUCCAAAGUAUUCUUUUAAUUUAAGAGAAUUCAUCAUUCGAAGGGAAGGAGACUACUCAAUAAUUCGACUUCGUCGUAAUUGAAUGAGUCAUUGAGGAGAAGAGAUGAAUCAAUGAAAUAUGGAUUGGCCCUCACCGAGAACUUGAGUAAGGAGUAGUUUUGAAAUUUAUCUAGAGUAAAAU
rnacentral:lncRNA from 1 species